GCGGGGGUGCCAGAGCGGUCAAUUGGGCAAGGUUGAGGGCCUUGUGGCUUAGUGCCUGCGCGGGUUCGAACCCCGUCUCCCGCA
rnacentral:tRNA from 1 species